UGGAUCCGUGACAUAUGAAGCAGGUAUGAGUGACAGUGAUAGUUGUGAAAAGAUUAGAAUUUGUGUCAACUUUGAUAUCCGUAGUGAUGUUUUUGUUCUUCAACUGGGUAUUAACAUCACCCAAAAACAGUUCACCCUUCUUUGUCCCUGAGGAUGUUAUAGCAACUCCAGUAGGUGAGUAAGUGCUGAUAGUGAACUUCUUGUCACUGUGAUAAUCCUUGUACAACAGAUCUCUGGCUUUCUUGUUGAUGUGCGGUUUUGACCAAUGUGAUUAAUUUUUGCAGGUUAUGGCUGGUGUGAUCGGUUAAGUGUGACAGAAGUGUGGAUUGAGGAGUUGUUGAUGAAGUGAAAGGUGAGUGUGAGGGUGUUAUUCAGUUGGAAAUUUUGUAAUGGGUUGAGGGAUUUAUGGAGAGUUAAUAGAGAGUUUGUUAGAGGAGGGAAUAUGUGAUUGUAAGCAUUCCGUUCAGUGGAAAAUUCUUUGUUGGAGCUGUUGAGGGAGUUAUAUCGCUCUGUCCAGCCGUAUCCCAAAUUUGCAGUUUGACGGUUUUGCCUUCAAGUUCCAAUGGCUGGGAUAAUACAGAUCCCAACACUGUCACCCCAACCUUCUUCAAUUUCUCGAACACGGGCUUCGUUUACAAGCUGUUGCUGAAGUUUCUGUUGUGGGGAGCCAAAUGAUUAUCAGCGGUUACGGGUCACAGUUGUGCUUGCUGUAAUGACAAUGCCGACAUUCACUUACGGUAAUUUGAGUAAUUCCAUUUGGCUUGCUGCUGUUAUGCUAUGUUUUUUCUGUCAUGGAAAUUUUGCAGGUAGUUUUGAUAGCAGCUCCAGAUAUGUUUUCCAUAAUCAAUAACAAAUUCAGCAGUGCCUCUGCUACCAAACUCAGCAUCAUUUGUGGUAGGUUUUGAAUUAAACCGCGUAUCUUUCCUGGGUGAUGUAGAGCGCAACAGAGCCGGGGAUACCACGUUCUCGUUUUUAAGGCCUCUACAAGUAACCAUACAAGAUAUAUCAAGAGAACUCGAAUCGUCACAAUUUCUGUUCUCUUUCGAUUCUCUAAAGGAAUUAGAGCAGGCAUUCAGCUCGUAGACAGAAGUGUGAAACUCGUCCUUUGAUGUAUUUGCUGAUUUCUUAAUAAGUUUUUUUCUUUUUUUUUUCUUAACGGAAACUUGCUCUUCAUUAUUACCAUUGAAACAAUAUUUUGAAAAUUCUAUUGUUUUGUCCCCAUAAACAUCACAUGGACAUGAAACUCCAGGCUUCCCGUCAAACAACAAAAUGUAAGGCAAAAUUGUAGCUUCAACAAAAAAACUUGACUUGUCGGACCUCACAUUAUUAGGAUGCUUUUUCUUGUGGAGGAAAUUUGUGAGAUACUUGGAGACAACUAAAGAUCAUUCUGCAUGAUAAUGAUUCACUAAAUUCCCAUUGAUCCACAAGUCCGUCAAUGCCAUCCAUAAUAACAUCACAAUUUGUCAGCUCAAAUAUGUCAUUGGAAUUCCAAGUCAGGGGCAGGUCUGGUAUAAGAACGUCAAUGCCACUAGCUGCAUCAACCAAUCUUGUGACAAGGAGCAACACCCAGAGUCUUGUUGAAAAUAGUAAUGACUGAAUGAACUUUCCUGUAAGUUGAAAGAAGCAAAAUGGUUCCCAUAUGAUAUGAACUGCAAUGAAUUGUUGGUUCAGCUACUGCUAGCUCGUAUUGUAGGAUAUGAACGUGAUGCAUUGUUAUGCUUGAAUGUUAAAUGGACAUGGUAUGUAUGUAUGAAAAUGAGUUUGGAAAUGUUUGAAAGUUAAAUAUUAUCGAAUAAUAUGAAA